rnacentral:rRNA from 1 species
CCGACGGGUGAGUAACGCGUAUCCAACCUGCCGUCUACUCUUGGACAGCCUUCUGAAGGAAGAUUAAUACAAGAUGGCAUCAUGAGUCCGCAUGUUCACAUGAUUAAAGGUAUUCCGGUAGACGAUGGGGAUGCGUUCCAUUAGAUAGUAGGCGGGGUAACGGCCCACCUAGUCUUCGAUGGAUAGGGGUUCUGAGAGGAAGGUCCCCCACAUUGGAACUGAGACACGGUCCAA